GUUGAAAAUGCAAAAGUUGAAAAUGCAAAAGUUGAAAAUGCAAAAGUUGAAAAUGCAAAAGUUGAAAAUGUAAAAGUUGAAAAUGCAAAAGUUGAAAAUGCAAAAGUUGAAAAUGCAAAAGUUGAAAAUGCAAAAGUUGAAAAUGUAAAAGUUGAAAAUGCAAAAGUUGAAAAUGCAAAAGUUGAAAAUGCAAAAGUUGAAAAUGCAAAAGUUGAAAAUGUAAAAGUUGAAAAUGUAAAAGUUGAAAAUGCA